rnacentral:rRNA from 1 species
GAUGAACGCUGGCGGCGUGCCUAAUACAUGCAAGUCGAGCGAACAGACGAGGAGCUUGCUCCUCUGACGUUAGCGGCGGACGGGUGAGUAACACGUGGAUAACCUACCUAUAAGACUGGGAUAACUUCGGGAAACCGGAGCUAAUACCGGAUAAUAUAUUGAACCGCAUGGUUCAAUAGUGAAAGACGGUUUUGCUGUCACUUAUAGAUGGAUCCGCGCCGCAUUAGCUAGUUGGUAAGGUAACGGCUUACCAAGGCGACGAUGCGUAGCCGACCUGAGAGGGUGGUCGGCCACACUGGAACGGAGACACGGUCCAGACUCCUACGGGAGGCAGCAGUAGGGAAUCUUCCGCAAUGGGCGAAAGCCUGACGGAGCAACGCCGCGUGAGUGAUGAAGGUCUUCGGAUCGUAAAACUCUGUUAUUAGGGAAGAACAAAUGUGUAAGUAACUAUGCACGUCUUGACGGUACCUAAUCAGAAAGCCACGGCUAACUACGUG